CUUUGUCUCACUGAUAAUUCCCUCUAGAAGUAAACGGAGUGUGGCUUUAAAGGUGUUUCUCUAUUUCAGAAAUAGAUUCUGGUAAGUUGUUGUAAUCAAACUAUGAGUUUAUCACCUUCAGCCUGAAUGAAAACCAUUAACUUGCAUGUUUCUGUUCGUAUUUUGCGUUAAAAUCACGGAGCACGUGCUGCAGGUGGUGCAGAGGGACAUGAAGCUGCGCAAGACAGAGGAGGAGAGACUCAGGCAUAAAAAGAGAGAAGCCUUCUUCUUUGAGGAAUGUGUGAGGGGGAUGGUCUGCCUGGAAUGGUGAUGGCAGCAGAAGCUCUCUCCCUCCGUCGCACUCCUGGUAACUCAGGAGUGCUGGAGGCUCAGGAGACCCAGUGCAGCAGUCUUACACGUCACCGGCUGUUCCAGCUGGUGGCUCUGGUGAGCCUCUCUAGCAUCUCUUAAUGUCCACUGGUGGCUCUGGUGAGCCCGGCCAGCACCUCCUCAUGUCCGCUGACAUCUCUGAGUCCAUUCAGCCACCUCCUGCUUCAUUGCCUGCAGCUGCUAUGCUGCCACCUGGUCCAACUCCAUUGUCUGAGGCUGCCACACCACCGUCUGGUCCAGCUCCACAGUCUGCGUCUGGUCCUGCCUCGUCCUGUUGUUGCCAUGCCCCCAUCUGUUUCUGUUCCCAGGUUAAUGUCUAAC